rnacentral:lncRNA from 1 species
CUCCCGUGUGGAGAGCCUCGUGGGCGGAAAGGGCAAGGACGGGGUCCCUGGGGACCAGAAGCCACCAGAGGAAGCCAGCUGUCGGCGGGCCUGGAAGGCUGGGGAGAAGUGGAGCCGGCUUGGCGAAGGAAGGAGACAGCUGGGAGGUUCUGGUUGGGGAAGCGAGGGUGAAUAGCAGCCCACGGUCACAGGGACACACUGUAGGCCUCCAUCAAAGUUGUCGGUUCUUGCUGGGAGAGCUGGAGGGGGCCGUGCUAUUUGAGACGGGGAAACCGAGGCCGAUGUCCACACACAGCCGCCCAUGUGCAAGGGGCUCUGUUGCAGACCUGGUGGCUGUGAAGCCUGUUCGGGGCUGAGAAACUGUUUUCUGGAACCUGGCUGAG